rnacentral:rRNA from 1 species
GACGAACGCUGGCGGCGUGCCUAAUACAUGCAAGUCGAACGCAGUGGGGACGGGUGAGUAACACGUGGGUAACCUCCCAUCAGAGGGGAUAACACUUGGAAACAGGUGCUAAACCGAUACUGAUGGAUGCACCAGCGGGGCAUUAGUUAGUUGGUGGGGUAACGGCUCACCAAGGCCACGAUGACUAGCCGCCCGGGGAGGGGGUUCGGCCAACCUGGGAUUGGGAAACGGCCCAGACUCCUACGGGAGGCAGCAGUGGGGAAUCUUGGCAAAUGGACGAAAGUCUGACCGAGCAACGCCGCGUGGUUGAAGAAGGUUUUCGGAUCGUAAAACUCUGUUGUUGGAGAAGCGGUAUCUAACCAGAAAGCCACGGCUAACUACGUGCCAGCAGCCGCGGUAAUUC